rnacentral:rRNA from 1 species
CCUACGGGAGGCAGCAGUGGGGAAUAUUGCACAAUGGGGGAAACCCUGAUGCAGCGACGCCGCGUGAAGGAAGAAGUAUUUCGGUAUGUAAACUUCUAUCAGCAGGGAAGAAAAUGACGGUACCUGACUAAGAAGCCCCGGCUAACUACGUGCCAGCAGCCGCGGUAAUACGUAGGGGGCAAGCGUUAUCCGGAUUUACUGGGUGUAAAGGGAGCGUAGGCGGGUUAGCAAGUCAGAAGUGAAAGCCCGGGGCUCAACUCCGGGACUGCUUUUGAAACUGUUGAACUAGAGUGCAGGAGAGGUAAGUGGAAUUCCUAGUGUAGCGGUGAAAUGCGUAGAUAUUAGGAGGAACACCAGUGGCGAAGGCGGCUUACUGGACUGUAAAUGACGCUGAGGCUCGAAAGCGUGGGGAGCAAACAGGAUUAGAUACCCGAGUAGUC